rnacentral:rRNA from 1 species
GAUGAAAGGCUCUUCAGGGUCUGUAAGUUCUGUUCGCCAGGGAAGAACAAGUGCCGCAGGCAAUGACGGCACCUUGACGGUACCUUGCCAGAAAGCCACGGCUUACUACGUGCCAGCAGCCGCGGUAAU